GAUGAACGCUGGCGGCGUGCCUAAUACAUGCAAGUCGAGCGAACAGACGAGGAGCUUGCUCCUUUGACGUUAGCGGCGGACGGGUGAGUAACACGUAGGUAACCUACCUAUAAGACUGGGGUAACUUCGGGAAACCGGAGCUAAUACCGGAUAAUAUUUCGAACCGCAUGGUUCGAUAGUGAAAGAUGGCUUUACUAUCACUUAUAGAUGGACCUGCGCCGUAUUAGCUAGUUGGUAAGGUAACGGCUUACCAAGGCAACGAUCCGUAGCCGACCUGAGAGGGUGAUCGGCCACACUGGAACUGAGACACGGUCCAGACUCCUACGGGGGGCAGCAGUAGGGAAUCUUCCGCAAGGGGCGAAAGCCUGACGGAGCAAAGUCGCGUGAGUGAUGAAGGUCUUCGGAUCGUAAAACGCUGUUAUUAGGGAAGAACAAACGUGUAAGUAACUGUGCACGUCUUGACGGUACCUAAUCAGAAAGCCACGGCUAACUACGUG
rnacentral:rRNA from 1 species